rnacentral:rRNA from 1 species
UACGGAGGAUGCAAGCGUUAUCCGGAAUUAUUGGGCGUAAAGCGUCCGCAGGUGGUUUAUCAAGUCUGCUGUCAAAGCGCGAGGCUUAACUUCGUAAAGGCAGUGGAAACUGAUAGACUGGAGUGCGGUAGGGGCAGAGGGAAUUCCCAGUGUAGCGGUGAAAUGCGUAGAUAUUGGGAAGAACACCGGUGGCGAAGGCGGCUCUCUGGGCCUUACCUGACGCUGAGGAGCGAAAGCGUGGGUAGCGAACAGG